GUUGGGCAUGGUGGCGCACACCUGUAAUCCCAGUGACUUGGGAGACUGAGGCAGGAGGAUCACGAGUUCAAAGCCAGCCUCAGCAAAAGUGAGGCUCUAAGCAACUCAGUGAGGCCCUGUCUCUA
rnacentral:sRNA from 1 species